rnacentral:ncRNA from 2 species
UGCAUGGGGGUUUUGUAGACUUUCAUAGCCAAAGAAACCGGCUUCGGCUUCUUUAAAAUCCCCGACGACUCACCUGAUUAACCUGCUGCAGUUCUGACCCUGCCAAGAUGCCAUCUACCUUGGCAGCCAACCCAUAUCCAACCUCAGUCUUCUGGAUCAAAUCUAAGAGCUGACAAUUUACUGGUUCAUCAAUGAAACAAUAUUAAAUUAUGAAGAUGUAAGGAAAAAAUCCUACGCUAACACUGUCGCAGUUUGAAAGCUUUAAAAAGUUGAAGUCUAUUGGAAACCUUCUUAUAAGAAACCUUCCUAGUCAGAGAAUUC